CCUACGGGGGGCAGCAGUGGGGAAUAUUUCGCAAUUGGGGAAACCCUGAUGCAGCGACGCCGCGUGAGUGAAGAAGUAAUUCGUUAUGUAAAGCUCUAUCAGCAUGGAAGAAAAUGACGGUACCUGACUAAGAAGCCCCGGCUAACUACGUGCCAGCAGCCGCGGUAAUACGUAGGGGGCAGGCGUUAUCCGGAUUUACUGGGUGUAAAGGGAGCGUAGACGGCGUGCCAAGUCUGAUGUGAAAGGCCGGGGCUCAACCCCGGGACUGCAUUGGAAACUGGCAUGCUGGAGUGCCGGAGGGGAAAGCGGAAUUCCUAGUGUAGCGGUGAAAUGCGUAGAUAUUAGGAGGAACACCGGUGGCGAAGGCGGCUUGCUGGACGGUAACUGACGUUGAGGCUCGAAAGCGUGGGGAGCAAACAGGAUUAGAUACCCCUGUAGUC
rnacentral:rRNA from 1 species